AUAUGAAACUUUCAGAAGCUAAAUAUCAACUUGAGGAGAAGAAUGCAGCUGUAGACAAACUGAGGAAUCAACUUGAAGCUUUUAUAGGACCCAAAAGAGCCAAAGAAAAAGGCCGUGCUGCUUAUCAUGUGAAUGAAGAGAUUGCAGCUUAUUUGAAUAAAGCUCGUUCAUUGUCCCAUCAGAAUGAGGUAAAUGAGGAUGAUGGAGGAGAAGUAGAAGAUGGGGUAGAAUGUGAGGAUGACUCAGCUGACAGUGAUCUUCAUUCCAUAGAAUUGAAUAUGGACAACAAUAAUAAAAGCUACAAAUGGACAUAUCCUUCUGGAACUCCUUGUGAUUUGAGGAAGGCGGCAAUUGAUGAAGAAGAAAUCAAAGG
rnacentral:misc_RNA from 1 species